UUGGAAGACAACACUUCGAGAAAAAAAAAUAAAUAAAUAAAAGAUUGCGAGCAAUAGCGCAAGAUUUCAUCAGAAAAGAUGCUAAUACUUGUCGACACGGUGAUGAAAGAAGGAAGCGUUGCGGCCGUCAGCCCCCAUUAUGACAAAAAUGAAUCACUAGUCCAGUACAAAAAGAACGAUAAAAAAAACCACACACAGGAGUGUUUUGUAUUGAACACGGGGCCGUGUUGGUUAUUAUUAUAGCAGAGAAGACAGCAGUAAAUCAACAAAGACAAGUCAACUGUGCCCCGAUCUACCACUCAAGAGAUCUGAUGGACUCAAAAAGCCAGAAGGCCAGCAAGUUGACACGGCCACCUCUCCCGGUGAGCAAUGCACUGAUGAGAAGACUACAAAAGGACGAAGAGAAAAAGGGAGGGGGCGGGCCCACAACCUUGGCCCCCAGCCCUCCCUUUUCACCACCCCGAAGCCCGCCACACUGACACAGUGGCGCUUUUCAUCUCCGUGCAUUUUCAUCUCUUUUCUCCCCCUCCGCCAUCUCGGGAAAAAAGUGUCCUUGGUGGGAAUUUUUGUCUUCAAAGAAAUCAAUUCUCCUUUGUACACAUGCGAGUUGACCCUGUGGCAGGCAUUAAGUGCGUGCUGAUGGACACGCGCCAUUGUCACACAUAUUUGCCUCAGCGUACCAACGAGGAGCCCGUGCAGCGUCUCAGCGGAAAACGCCGCUGCUCAUCAAGGCUUCAAAACCUUCAGAUGCAAAAGAAAUAAGUGAAGAAUAUGUAAAGAGUGGAAUAUUACGUCCUGUCAAA